rnacentral:rRNA from 1 species
UAGAGUUUUGAUCCUGGCUCAGGAUGAACGCUGGCGGCGUGCCUAAUACAUGCAAGUCGAGCGAACGGAUAAGGAGCUUGCUCCUUUGAAGUUAGCGGCGGACGGGUGAGUAACACGUGGGUAACCUACCUAUAAGACUGGAAUAACUUCGGGAAACCGGAGCUAAUGCCGGAUAACAUAUAGAACCGCAUGGUUCUAUAGUGAAAGAUGGUUUUGCUAUCACUUAUAGAUGGACCCGCGCUGUAUUAGCUAGUUGGUAAGGUAAUGGCUUACCAAGGCGACGAUACAUAGCCGACCUGAGAGGGUGAUCGGCCACACUGGAACUGAGACACGGUCCAGACUCCUACGGGAGGCAGCAGUAGGGAAUCUUCCGCAAUGGGCGAAAGCCUGACGGAGCAACGCCGCGUGAGUGAUGAAGGUUUUCGGAUCGUAAAACUCUGUUAUUAGGGAAGAACAAAUGCGUAAGUAACUGUGCGCAUCUUGACGGUACCUAAUCAGAAAGCCACGGCUAACUAC